AUGGAAGAGUGGUCGUUAAGCCUGUGUUGCAUAGCCCUAUCCACGGUGCUUGCCCUUUGGUUUCUCAAGCUCAAUGGCGGAACGAAAAAGCUCAAGAAGCAGCAGCUACCUCCUGGGCCAUGGACUCUCCCGAUCAUCGGCAGCCUCCACCACGUCGUCAGCCUCCUCCCACACCGCAGGAUGAUGGACAUGUCUCGCCGGCACGGCCCGCUGAUGCACCUCAUGCUCGGCGAGGUCCCCACCGUGAUCGUCUCCAGCGCCGAGGCCGCGGAGCUGGUGAUGAAGACCAACGACCUCGCGUUCGCAACCCGGCCGGGGACCCCGACGCAGGACGUCUUCGGGUGCGGCGGCAAGGACAUCGUCUUCGCGCCCUACGGCGAGCACUGGCGCCAGAUGCGCAAGGUGUGCGUCCUGGAGUUCCUCAGCUCCAGGCAGGUGAAGCGCAUGGAGGGCAUCAGGGCAGAGGAGGUGGGCAACCUCCUCCGCUCGAUCACCGCAGCCGCCUCGACCGGCGCGGCCGCCAUUAACUUCAGUCGGGAGGUGGCGGCGCUGAGCAACGACGUGGUGACGCGGGCGGUUUUCGGCGGCAAGUUUGCGCAGCAGGGCGAGUACAUUCGUGAGUUGGGCAGAGCGUUAGAGCUGAUGGGCGGCUCCUGUCUCGUCGACCUCUUCCCGUCGUCGCGGUUGGCGCGGUGGUUGAGCAAUGGCGACCGCAGCAUAAAGAAGAGCUCCGCGUGCAUCAAGCGCAUCAUUUCAGGCAUCAUUGAGGAGCGGCAGGCCGCGCGAGCUGCUCCAAGCGAUGGUGCCUGCAGCAGCACCAACGACGAGAACUUCCUGGACGUGCUGCUCAGGCUUCAGCAGGACGACUCUUUGGAAAUCCCUCUAACCACAGACGCUAUAGGCGCCGUCUUGUCUGACAUGUUUGCAGGUGGCACCGAAACAAUAGCAACCACCUUGGCGUGGGCGAUGUCGGAGCUCGUGCGCAGCCCAGAAAUUAUGGCCAAGGCACAGCAAGAAGUACGGGAGGUGCUAGGUGAAGGUCGGGCUGUCAUUACUAAUAGUGAUCUCGCUAAACUCCGCUACCCAAAGUCGGUCAUCAAGGAGGUCCUUAGGUUGCAUCCGGCCUCUCCUCUGAUCCCGCGCGCGGCUAGAGAGGACUGUACAGUUAUGGGUUAUGACAUACCUAAAGGCACCAAUGUUUACAUUAACGUCUUUGCGAUAUCUCAAGAUCCCCAAAACUGGAACAAUCCUGGAGAGUUUAAGCCAGAGAGAUUUGAGGACACCCAAGUGAACUUCAAUGGAACAUACUUCGAAUUCAUUCCCUUCGGGGCCGGGCGACGGCAAUGCACCGGGAUUCAGUUUACCUUGUCACUUGCGGAGAUGGCAUUAACAAACUUUUUGUAUCACUUUGACUGGAAGCUUCCUGAUGCGUCUAGCCUCGCUUCAUUUGACAUGUCCGAGAAAUUUGGGAUUACAGUAAGCAGAAGGUAUGACCUGAAACUCAGAGCUAUUCCACACGACAUAUUUGCAGGUGCCACGUCGACCAUAGGAACUACCUUGACGUGGGCUAUGUCAGAGCUUGUGCGCAGUCCUGAAACUAUGGCCAAGGCACAACAAGAAGUCCGAGAGGUUCUUGGCCAAGACCGAGCUGUCAUUACUAAUAGCGACCUCGCUAAACCCGACUACAUGCAGAUGAUCAUCAAGGAAACCCUUAGGUUCCAUCCGCCUGCUUCUCUAGUUCUUCGCGCGUCCAUAGAGGAUUGUACUAUCAUGGGUUAUGACAUCCCCAAAGGCACCAAUGUAAACAUUAACGUCUUCGCAAUUUCUCGAGAUCGAAUUCACUCCCUUUGGUGCUGGGCGACGACAAUGCCCUGCGAUUCAGUUUAGCUCGUCGGUCUUGGAGAUGACAUUGACAAAUAUUCUGUAUCACUUCAACUGGAAGCUUCCUGGUGGUGCUAGCCCGAUUUCGCUUGACAUGUCCGAGAAAUUUGGGCUUGCAGUAAGCAAAAAGUAUGAUCUGAAACUUGAAGCUACUCCACACUUGUGGUUCAAAGCUAUGCGGUCAAAGUGACAGAGAAAGCUUGCAUAUUCAUGUGGCUAUGCAAGUUAACAUACCUACAUUUUCAGGACAUGUCAAUGAUGUCAUUAUUGAAGUGUAUGGUUGUACCUUUAUGCAAUACAAUAAGAGAAGCUCAUUGCAAACAUCAUGUCCUCGUAUCAAUAAUAAGAGAAGAUCUUACGUUACAUGAUCAUGUAGAACAUGACUGUAUUAGUUCUGUAUGUUCUUAUGAACUUUUGAAUAAUGCAUCUACUAUUAUUAA